rnacentral:rRNA from 1 species
UACGGAAGGCAGCAGUGGGGAAUAUUGCACAAUGGGCGCAAGCCUGAUGCAGCCAUGCCGCGUGUAUGAAAAAGGCCUUCGGGUUGUAAAGUACUUUCAGUCGUGAGGAAGGUGUUAAGGUUAAUAACCUUAGCAAUUGACGUUAGCGACAGAAGAAGCACCGGCUAACUCCGUGCCAGCAGCCGCGGUAAUACGGAGGGUGCGAGCGUUAAUCGGAAUUACUGGGCGUAAAGGGCACGCAGGCGGUUAAUUAAGUUGGAUGUGAAAUCCCCGGGCUUAACCUGGGAAUGGCAUUCAAGACUGGUUAGCUAGAGUCUUGUAGAGGGGGUAGAAUUCCAUGUGUAGCGGUGAAAUGCGUAGAGAUGUGGAGGAAUACCGGUGGCGAAGGCGGCCCCUGGACAAAGACUGACGCUCAUGUGCGAAAGCGUGGGGAGCAAACGAGGGAUUAGAUA